rnacentral:tRNA from 1 species
GGGGAUAUAGCUCAGCUGGGAGAGGCCCUGCCUUGCACGCAGGAGGUCAGCGGUUCGAUCCCGCUUAUCUCCACCA